GAUGAACGCUGCGGCGUGCUUAACACAUGCAAGUCGAGCGAUGAAGUUUCCUUCGGGAAACGGAUUAGCGGCGGACGGGUGAGUAACACGUGGGUAACCUGCCUCAUAGAGUGGAAUAGCCUUUCGAAAGGAAGAUUAAUACCGCAUAAUGUUGAAAGAUGGCAUCAUCAUUUAACCAAAGGAGCAAUCCGCUAUGAGAUGGACCCGCGGCGCAUUAGCUAGUUGGUGGGGUAACGGCCUACCAAGGCGACGAUGCGUAGCCGACCUGAGAGGGUGAUCGGCCACAUUGGGACUGAGACACGGCCCAGACUCCUACGGGAGGCAGCAGUGGGGAAUAUUGCACAAUGGGGGAAACCCUGAUGCAGCAACGCCGCGUGAGUGAUGAAGGUUUUCGGAUCGUAAAGCUCUGUCUUUGGGGAAGAUAAUGACUGUACCGGAAGAAUAAGCCCCGGCAAACUUCGUGCCAGCCGCCGCAGUAA
rnacentral:rRNA from 1 species